GCACCAUUGAGUUAUGUCCCGAGGAUGUCUUAUUACAAGUAACUCUACAUAAAAAUGAUAAAAUCAGUUUCAUGGACCAAUAUCCCAAAAAAUUGUAAAUUUCUUCCCCUUCAAGUCAUAAAGGUGACCAUAUCAACUAUGCUUGAAUUUCAAUAAAUGUUCUUCAUCAAAAUUCUCCAAAACGUGGUCCAAAAUGACAAGCGAGCUUAUUUGCGUUACCGGUAAGCCUCCAAUGUAACAAAUUGAUAGUCCAUCUGCAAUUUAUAAAUGAGUUUUAUGUUGAAUGACGGAAUCAUAUUGCCUAAUUCUUUAAGCUUGACAAAUUAACAAGCAAACAUGAUUUCCACGAAUGAUCAAGUAAUUUGCAUUUUCAAAUUUAGAUCAAAUAAUUAUUAUAAGUCGUCAUUUUAACAAGCAAACAUGAUUUCCACAUUGAGCACGCAUUUUCACAACAACGUUCAUAUGCAAUUCGGACUCCAAAAUUGCACAAAAACUAGAAUUUUGAACUUGGUGCUACAUAUUCGAUGUUUGCAAUGAAACUCGAAACAAAUUCAAAGUUUGCAUGGACAACUCGAAAUUAACCGUGCAAAUUUUGAGAUUGCAUUGCAGACUCAAAUUGUGCACUGUAGACUAGAGAUUUGAUGGAUAACUCAAGAAAUUGCAAUUCAAACACUGGAUUUGCCUGCAAACUCGACAUUUUACCUAAUAACUAAAACUAUUUGCCCAAUUACGGGUUUUUCCACAUUUCAUUAGCAAAAUUUCCACAUAUACGGAUUUUUCUUAACUGUCCCCUAAACUUGUUCAGUAGUGAUUUUGAAAAUUAAUUUUUUGAUUGUAGAGAGAAAAAUGAAUCUAUACGUGAGAAGAAAAAUUAAAAAUGACAGCUAAAAUCGUAAAAUCAUAAUCAAAAAUUGGUUUUUUGAAGAGAAAAAUCACUUCCAAACAUGCACUAGAACUCAAAAUAUCCACAAAAUUAAUCAUUGACAGGAACCCUGUCUUUUUCAUUUUGGAAGAGCCUCGAAAAAGGAAAAUUUUUUUUCUUAAUGGAAUGCUUCCCCCACCAAAGUACAAGCAGCUUUAAUAGGUUGGUGGUCAUAUUUAAAAGCAUUUAAUUCUGCAACUACAAAAAUCGACUAUUAAAAUCCGUACACCGGAGAACUGUUUUUAAAAAAAUGUUAAACCCUAACCUUAAGGGUCCCCCACCACCCCUAUCCUGGAGCAUCGUGAGAGAGGUAAAUCGCAGGUUAUGCCUCCAAGGGUACAGGGUGGAAGGUUGCUUGUACACUUGCACUUACCCAAGAGCCAAAUCCAUAUUUCAGGAUUCGAAUCCUUGACGCAGCAGCCUCAAGCAAAGCUGGAUUUCUCCACCCUACCCUUUUACCACUUGGAGAUGUGCCCUGAGGGCACGGGAGAACUGUUUUUACUUGUCUCAAAGAUGCCCUCAAGAAGGAAAUGAUUAACAUUUGAUCGAUCAUAUUUAGCCCCUAUUUGUUAUGUGUUGAAAUCAUAAUUUUAGUAAAUUUUAAUUAAAGUUAAAAAAUAUAUGAUUGAAAAAUUGCGGGACCAUGAAAUAUAUCGUUAAAAUUAAUUGUUAAUUUUGAAUUAGAUUAAGACCUGAAUUUUAAUCAAUACAAAAAUAGUUCUUAGAAAGCAUAAAAGGAAGACGGCUAGAGAAUAAUUUAGUUACUUGUAAUAUAAAAAUAAAAUAAAAUAAAAAGAGAGCACAAGGAUUUACAUUGCUUAUUUGGAAAUAAAAACAAAAGAUGCGCAUAUAUACACGUCACAACUUUCAAACCACAUUAUCAAAAUACUUACGAUUCAGAAAUUGAUUUAUAAAUUCAGUUACAAUUAAAUAUUAAUUUUAACUACAUAUUCAUAUUUAAUACUCAAACACAAGAUUUUUAUAUAUUUGUUCACCACAUAGAAUCAAUUUACUUAGAAAAUUAACUAUUUUUAAAGUGAAUUUUUAUUUACUUGUAUAUAUAAUGUGUAUACUAACAUAUACACGCACAAUACACAUACAGAGAGAGAGAGAGAGAGAGCACAUGUUUUCACGUGGCUACAGCCAUUCAAGGAUCAAUUAGGCGGGGAUUUGAGAAACAAUUUGGGACACGUUUAAUUAUUUAUAGAAAAAAUCGGCGGAACCACAGUUGACCCACUUGUGCUGUGCGUGCCUUACAAUAAUUUCCAUUAUUUUUUAUAAACGAGACAUGCAUUAAAAAAAAAAUUAAAUAAAUAAAAUAAAAAACCAUACUCCUCUAAUUCAAAAGUGGCUGCUAAUGAGCACUUCAAUGAGAAGUGCUUCUUCACGUGCAGGGUACGAAUACUCACAGCAUUGAGGGUGGGUGAGGUUUUUGAUAGUUCUUUAUACAGGUGCGAGACUUGCCUGGUAUGAGUGUUGGUAGGGAUUGUGUUAAUCCAGCAAAAUUCGCAAUUCAAUAGCUCCAAGUCCUGUAAUUAUUAAAUUACUUUCCACAGUGGCAAGCAGCAGCAUCUGCCAUAAAGACUAAAGUAAAGUUGUGGGUUAAUUGGAUUCCUAAACGAGUUUAUUAUCAAGAAAUAAUGCAUAAUUUUUUUUUUUUUUUUUUGUCACGACAAAAUACUACUUUACUUGUUAUCAGGGAAACUAAAGGGAAUAAAAGGGUUUCUUGUGAUUUGUAUAAUAUUGGAACCAAUAAUGAAUAUAUAAAAGUCUGUCCUCGAUUUUUUCCAAAUAAAAUACAUGGAUUUUCAGUUAAUUUUUUUGGCCUCACUUUCAAUUUACUUUUCUAGAGUUAAUUUUCAUGCAUUCACAGCCUUUUUCUACUUAAAAGCAGCUAAAAGGAAGAAAAGAAAAACAAAAAAGAAAAUCAUAAAUAAGUCAUCAUACCUGCAAGGCAUGAGCUGGUGGAAGCAUGAAUCUAAAGUGUGGAAAUGAAGUCCAGAAAGAGUUGACCUGGAAUGGAAUCAAGACAAAUACAAUUAUUUAUAAAUGUUUCCACAUCCAAGAAAUUAUCCAAUAGACAAAUUAACUCAAAAACUGAACUCCAUCCAUUUCAAUUAAUAAAAAACCAAUUUUGGAAUUUCAGCUGAUUUAGUUCUACCCUUUACUCCAACUAACAUAUCAUGUUCAGCAUCUGAUACCUUUUAAUUUACAACAAGGCAACACAAAGGGAAGCUGUUUCUUACAAUUCUCACAGCAAAAAGAAGAUAAAUAGACCUUUGACUUAAAGAGAAGACCUGAAGAACUGGAAUUUUAUAUGCACAAGUUUUACACAAGAUGUUCAAGUCUGCAAAAUGGAGAAGCGAGAAGAUCAAAGUUGUAUUCAAAAUGCNNN
rnacentral:lncRNA from 1 species